CUCCAGCUGACGAGUCCCAAAUAGGACGAAAUGCGCAUCCUGGAU
rnacentral:hammerhead_ribozyme from 1 species